CUAUUGGAAUGAAAGUGGUCUCCCUAAAUUCUUUGGAUCAUGCCGAGAACAUCGAUACCAAUUAUGACAAAAUUGGCCAAACUUCCUGUCCGCCAUUUUGAUUCAUGUUGAAAACCUAAUUUUUCAAACUCCUCCUAGACCGUUAGUCCAAUUUUCACCAAAUGUGACUCAGAUCAUCUUCAGACGAUGCUGGCAAAAAGUUAUGGAUUUCGUGUCGAUAUACGAAAUGGUUUUCGUUUAGCGCACCAACGAAUUUGUUGGAAGGAUGCCAAAAUGUAUCUGAGGCUGUAUCUCUGCACAGAUUUGACAUAUUUACACCAAACGUUGCAUGAACCAUUGUCACCACAAAUUGAUCACGCCACAUCAAUUUGGUAACAGCGCCACCUAUUGGUCCGGAGUAAUAAACAUUCAUUAAUUCUUAAUUAUUAGCAUUUUUGAAAAAUUCAUAACUUUUGAUUGCAUUGACCUAUUGUAAUGAAACUGAUCUCAAAAUAUUUCUUGGGUCAUGCCAACAACAUACAUAUCAAGUAUGUCAUAAUAAGCCGAACUUUCUGUCGGCUAUUUUGAUUUAUGUUGAAAACCUACUUUUUUGCUCUCCUCAUCAACCUUUGGUCCGAUUUUCACCAAAAUCGAAUAAAAUGAUCUUCAGACUGUGCUGACAAAAUGUUAUGGAUUUUGUAUUGAUAGACAAAACCGUUUUCGCAUACUACAGCGACGAAUUUCAGGCAUGAUGCCAAAAUGACACUUCAGCCUGUAUCUCUGCAAUGCUUUGGCAUACUGACACCAAACUUUGUGUGUGGCAUUGUCACCUCACACAGAACACACCAAAAUGAUUUGAUUACAGCGCUACCUGUUGGUCAAAAGUGAUAAACCAUUUAAUCAUAAUACUAGUGCUUGUAUUUAUGAUUUUUCCGCCAUUUCAAUUACAAUCAUCCUAAAAUUGCUGUAAUUUCUCAUUGUUGCAUUUGGUCUGAUGCUCCAUGCCAUGUUUAGCUCCUCAAUUUGCAGCUGGAGUGCUUGGCCCCGCAAUUGCUGCUUGCAGCUAUAUUUAGGGGCCAAGCACCGAAGGUGCGUAGGCACCUAUUGUAUCCGUUGGCGUUAUUAUUAUUCUUCUUCUUCUUCUUCUUCUUCUUCCGCCGCAACAAGUCUAUGGCAGCCCAUAGAACCGAUUGCGGGAAAGUUGUAUAAUUUGGCACACUGAUAGAGGACAGUCCCAGCAUUAACUAUAGAAAAUUUGAAGUCUCUAACUCCAACUCUCUAGCGCCACCACUUGUCCAAAAUUUCAAUAUUUU
ensembl:lncRNA